AUAAAAGAAUGCGCGCCGGAAGAUUAAGCCUUUUCCUUACGGAAAGCGACGGCUGAGUAAUCGUGUUUUGGCCUAAAAUGAUAAUUUUGUCAGGACUUAUUGGCGCAGUUAAAAUGCAGGCGGGUCGAGAUUCUUGCUUUAACGGUAGGAGGCGGUCAACUUUAAAAGGCUUUAGAUUCGAGGAACCUAAAGGACUUAGGCAUUCAUUAGGUUCCAUGACGACCACGCGCAACCCUGGACCCUGACAGCGCGUGCGUCAGUCCAGGCCGAGGUCUGUGCUCCGGGUAACACCCAGGCGGAAGAUCAGCAUUUCUGCAGCGGGGUCAUGUGCCCAUUUUGAGUCUGCUCUGUAUUUGGCGCCAGAGCAGCCUGAGAACCGCCACAAUUUGAUGCACAUGGAAGCAGAACUUAACUGUUGAUGAGUAACGGAAAAUACAGCAAGAUGAUCAAGAACUACAAAGUCCUAACGGGUGAAGUCUUAUGCGGCAUGUUGCAGUGGGUCACCAAACUUAAAUUUUAGUGGGGAAAUGGGCAUUUUGAAUAAUACGGAAACUCCUGGGGCAGUAUUUUCAAUACAUGUCUAAAUUGCUUAAAUUAGCAUUUACGGUACUUCCUUGAUAUAAUUGAAUAAAAUGCUUGAUUUGUGGGCAUGGAUAUGCUGUUCUUUAAACAAUAAAUGGAGAAAAAGUAAAAAUACUUCCUGUCCACGGUUAGAUUGUGUAAAGAUAACAUGAAUAGUUUGAGAAAGUUGCACAUAAAAAUUACCCAAGGGAGCAGUGUUCUCACACUACCCCAAAAUUAAGACAAUACAAAAUAAGAAUU